ACUUUUCAGAGCCAAUAAAGACAUUGUGCUGGUUUUGUUUUUUCUUUAUUUAGAUACUGACCGAGCUUUAGUACUGCUGGAAGAAUAUUGCAAAAAACUACGGAAGCCAGAAGAGCAACAGCUGAAAAAAGCCAUCAGAAAGGUGAUGGGCAUCUUUAAGAGCAGCUUGUUUCAGGCACUUCUAGGUUCUUCUACUCUGGUAUUUUUCAGAGUUGAACUUCAGCUAUCAGCCUGCACCCUAGGACCAUUACUGACCACUACAACUGCAUCACUUGCAUCCUGGCACAUUUUGACAUCCAGGAGAACUCAAUACUUCUGCUAUAAAGAAUGUGGACAUGAAGAUCAGCUUGUAUAUUUGUGUCCCUGAAUGUUUUCCACUUGAGGAAAAACCCUGUGUGCUAUUGGAUAAGGUCCUGAAACAUAAUUUAAAAGCAUCAUCAGCAGGAAAAACCCAUCAUGAAGUGGGAGAAAGUCUUCUUGAACAUUAUUCAUUUGAAUGAUGGAGCUGUGUAGAAGCAGAUAUUGAGAAGAUGCAGCUGAUGUGUGACCGAGUACCAAAUGGACAUCCUUAGAGAAGACAGUUCUAACUUCCCUAAGUCAUCACUACUCUCUUAGUAGGCCAUAUUUUUUAGGGAAUCACUCAGCAUGUGUGUCAGCUUUCCCAGACCUAAAUUAUUUUAAGCUGCAUAUUUCUUUCGGAGUGAAAAUUUGAGAUCCUGCAGCCCAUGAAUUGCUGUGAAGACAUGGAAGCCAGAUUCCUCACUUUUAAGGGACUGGUGUGGUGGCAUACAGGAGUCUAAUGUUCCAUGCAAUUUAUGAUUUUCCACUUUAUUGAAGAAAUAAUUCUGUUUGUAGUUUUAUGAAUUUGCAGUCUUGAAUACCCAGUACUGCAGGUCACAAUUUUAUCUAUAGGCUGUUCCAUCUUAAGUGAAGAAACACUAUAUGUUGUUAAAACCCUGAUCUCCAAGAGUUUGUAAAAAGAAAAAUUCAUGAUGGUUGACUUAAAAUGUAAUUUUUAAAAGUUGAACAUUUAUUAUUAAAGC
rnacentral:lncRNA from 1 species